AGAGUUUGAUCAUGGCUCAGGAUGAACGCUAGCUACAGGCUUAACACAUGCAAGUCGAGGGGAAGCGACAUCGAAAGCUUGCUUUUGAUGGGCGUCGACCGGCGCACGGGUGAGUAACGCGUAUCCAACCUGCCCACCACUUGGGGAUAACCUUGCGAAAGUAAGACUAAUACCCAAUGACGUCUCUAGAAGACAUCUGAAAGAGAUUAAAGAUUUAUCGGUGAUGGAUGGGGAUGCGUCUGAUUAGCUUGUUGGCGGGGUAACGGCCGCCAAGGCUACGAUCAGUAGGGGUUCUGAGAGGAAGGUCCCCCANAUUGGAACUGAGACACGGUCCAAACUCCUACGGGAGGCA
rnacentral:rRNA from 1 species